rnacentral:rRNA from 2 species
CUGCCCUAUCAACUUUCGAUGGUAGGAUAGUGGCCUACCAUGGUUUCAACGGGUAACGGGGAAUUAGGGUUCGACUCCGGAGAGGGAGCCUGAGAAACGGCUACCACAUCCAAGGAAGGCAGCAGGCGCGCAAAUUACCCAAUCCCGACACGGGGAGGUAGUGACAAUAAAUACUGAUCCAGGGCUCUUUCGGGUCUUGGAAUUGGAAUGAGUACAAUUUAAAUCCCUUAACGAGGAACAAUUGGAGGGCAAGUCUGGUGCCAGCAGCCGCGGUAAUUCCAGCUCCAAUAGCGUAUAUUAAAGUUGUUGCAGUUAAAAAGCUCGUAGUUGAACCUUGGGCCUGGCUGGCCGGUCCGCCUCACCGCGUGUACUGGUCCGGCCGGGCCUUUCCUUCUGGGGAACCGCAUGGCCUUCACUGGCCGUGUCGGGGAACCAGGACUUUUACUUUGAAAAAAUUAGAGUGUUCAAAGCAGGCCUUUGCUCGGAUACAUUAGCAUGGAAUAAUAGAAUAGGACGCGUGGUUCUAUUUUGUUGGUUUCUAGGACCGCCGUAAUGAUUAAUAGGGAUAGUCGGGGGCAUCAGUAUUCAAUUGUCAGAGGUGAAAUUCUUGGAUUUAUUGAAGACUAACUACUGCGAAAGCAUUUGCCAAGGAUGUUUUCAUUAAUCAGUGAACGAAAGUUAGGGGAUCGAAGACGAUCAGAUACCGUCGUAGUCUUAACCAUAAACUAUGCCGACUAGGGAUCGGUGGAUGUUACUAUUUUGACUCCAUCGGCACCUUACGAGAAAUCAAAGUUUUUGGGUUCUGGGGGGAGUAUGGUCGCAAGGCUGAAACUUAAAGAAAUUGACGGAAGGGCACCACCAGGCGUAAACCAAACCGCAGUUAACUCUGCGCCGCAUAGCGGCCCUCCCUGUCCCGGGGGGUGGUGGUGACCCGUACUAACUGCUAGUCGCCUUCGACGAGUCUCGGAGGCGGCCACAUACCCAAAUUGCGGGAAGUAUCCUUUAGAUUGACGUUCCACCAAGCCGACCGUGUCGGCGGCCGGCUCUAACACAUCCGGGUAAGGUUAUAGCGAGCGUUCAAUAGGAUCAUCCGCAGUCCUACGUGCGAAAGCCUCUUGCACGCGGUUCAGAGACUAAACGGGUGUGGGUCGGUCGUGACCGGCUUGAGAUAUAGUCCGUCGGGAAGUGCUAAUGCCUUUCUAACAACAUAAAACGGGAGCCUGCGGCUUAAUUUGACUCAACACGGGGAAAUCUCACCAGGUCCAGACACAAGGAGGAUUGACAGAUUGAGAGCUCUUUCUUGAUUUUGUGGGUGGUGGUGCAUGGCCGUUCUUAGUUGGUGGAGUGAUUUGUCUGCUUAAUUGCGAUAACGAACGAGACCUUAACCUGCUAAAUAGCCAGGCCCGCUUUGGCGGGUCGCCGGCUUCUUAGAGGGACUAUCGGCUCAAGCCGAUGGAAGUUUGAGGCAAUAACAGGUCUAACCUGCGGAGGG